rnacentral:rRNA from 1 species
GACGAACGCUGGCGGCGCGCUUAACACAUGCAAGUCGAGCGAAGCGGCGGACGGGUGAGUAACACGUGAGUAACCUGCCUUAGACAUUGGGAUAGCCUCGGGAAACCGGGAUUAAUACCAAAUGGUCUAAGAUGGACUCGCGUCCCAUUCGCUAGUUGGUGAGGUAACGGCCCACCAAGGCGAGGAUGGGUAGCCGGCCUUAGAGGGUGAACGUGCACAUUGGCAGUGGGAAACUGACCAAACUCUACGGGAGGCAGCAGUGGGGACUAUUGCACAAUGGAGUGAACUAUGAGGCGGCGACGCCUCGUGAACGAAGAAGGCUUUAGAGUCGUAAAGUUCUUUUAUAUGGGAAGCGGUACCAUAAUAAAAAGCCCCGGCUAACUACGUGCCAGCCGCCGCGGUAAUAC